UACGUAGGGGGCAAGCGUUGUCCGGAUUUAUUGGGCGUAAAGAGCGUGUAGGCGGCCAGGUAGGUCAGCUGUGAAAACUCGAGGCUCAACCUCGAGACGUCGGUUGAAACCACCUGGCUAGAGUCCGGAAGAGGAGAGUGGAAUUCCUGGUGUAGCGGUGAAAUGCGCAGAUAUCAGGAAGAACACCCGUGGCGAAGGCGGCUCUCUGGGACGGUACUGACGCUGAGACGCGAAAGCGUGGGUAGCAAACAGG
rnacentral:rRNA from 1 species